rnacentral:rRNA from 1 species
AGCGAACGCUGGCGGCAGGCCUAACACAUGCAAGUCGAACGGAUCCUUCGGGAUUAGUGGCGGACGGGUGAGUAACACGUGGGAACGUGCCCUUUGGUUCGGAACAACUCAGGGAAACUUGAGCUAAUACCGGAUGUGCCCUUCGGGGGAAAGAUUUAUCGCCAUUGGAGCGGCCCGCGUCUGAUUAGCUAGUUGGUGAGGUAACGGCCCACCAAGGCGACGAUGAGUAGCUGGUCGGGGAGGAUGAUCAGCCACACUGGGACUGAGACACGGCCCAGACUCCUACGGGAGGCAGCAGUGGGGAAUCUUGCGCAAUGGGCGAAAGCCUGACGCAGCCAUGCCGCGUGAAUGAUGAAGGUCUUAGGAUUGUAAAAUUCUUUCAGCGGGGACGAUAAUGACGGUACCCGCAGAAGAAGCUCCGGCUAACUUCGUG